rnacentral:sRNA from 1 species
CAUACUUACGGCCUUUACAUGAAUACGUUUUGAUCAGACAUUCAGAGAUUAGUCUUAGGUUUGCACGUAAGUCACUGAAAACAGUAAAACAGGCUGCUUAGAUUUCUAGCAGUAUGUGUGCUCUUAUCCCCAGCUGUUAGCAUGUUAGUAAUACUUUUGGGGAGGAGUUGUCUGUCCUGGUCAGUUUUCACAGAGGCGGUUGUAAGAGGAUGUGGUUAUUUUCUCCAUGUCUGUAGUUGCUUUGCGGCAUCUCCAUUUCACGGGCAACACUCACUGCCUGCAGCUGAGAUUCCAGAACGCCCUGUGUCCACAGUGAUUAGCCUCGUCUUUCAGCGAGCAUAAAAUAAGUGCAUUGUCCUUUUCUUUUCUUGAGGCAGGGUCUCACUCUGUUGACCAGGCUGGCUGGGAAGCGAGCUGCGAGGUGCUCAAAGGCCCUCUAUGUCCACAGGUAGCCCCGUCCCACACAGGCGAGGAUCGUUGGGCCUCCUUAGUAGCCAAAGGAACUGAGGUUCAGAGCAGGGAAUGUGUUGCCCAGUGUCAGCAUGGUCUGCUCUGGGGUCA